UAUUAUUUUAAAAUGUUAAUUUUUGUGCCUGAGUAGUAUUAGUUAUGUUCUUGAAACUUAAAGAAUUUGGCGGUAUCUCAUUCCGUCCAGAGGAAUCUGUCCCGUUAUCGAUAGUCCACGUUGGACCUUACUUAUUUGCUUUUGGUUUGUAUACCGCCGUUUAUUGAUUAUCUUUUUAGAGGUUGUUUAAUUUUCUAGUUUCUUUAUUUUGAUGUAUUUCAGGUCAAGGUGCAGCUUGUUUUUAAGUGGAAUGAUGGAUUACAUUGUUAUUUGUUUAUGGAUUGUUGAUUUUAAUAUUGGCAUGAAAUUGGAUUUGGUUGUAAUGAUUUGUAGAUUGUUAUUAUGAUAAUUGGUUCUGAGAUAUGUACACAUCGCCCGUCGCUCUCGUUUAUUAUAAU
rnacentral:rRNA from 1 species